rnacentral:rRNA from 1 species
UACGUAGGGUGCAAGCGUUGUCCGGAAUUAUUGGGCGUAAAGAGCUCGUAGGCGGUUUGUCGCGUCAUUGCUGUGAAAACCCGAGGCUCAACCUCGGGCCUGCAGUGGGUACGGGGCAGACUAGAGGUGCGGUAGGGGAGACUGGAAUUCCUGGGUGAUAGCGGUGAAAUGCGCAGAUAUCAGGAGGGAAACACCGGGUGGCGAAAGGCGGGUCACCUGGGCCAAAAACUGAC